UGCUAUUCGUGCCACUAGAGAUCCUGAUUCGAGUCCAGGCUCUGUCGCAGCUGGCCACUCCUGUGAGACCCAUGGGGCAGCGCACAAUUGGCCCAGCAUCAUCCGGUGUUAGAGGGUUUGGCCGGCAGGGAUGUCCUUGUCCCAUCGCGCCCUAGCGGUCACCAGGUGUCCCAUCGCGCCCUAGCGGUCACCAGGUGUCCCAUCGCGCCCUAGCGGUCACCAGGUGUCCCAUCGCGCCCUGACACGGUCACCAGGUGUCCCAUCGCGCCCUAGCGGUCACCAGGUGUCCCAUCGCGCCCUGACACGGUCACCAGGUGUCCCAUCGCGCCCUAGCGGUCACCAGGUGUCCCAUCGCGCCCUAGCGGUCACCAGGUGUCCCAUCGCACCCUAGCGGUCACCAGGUGUCCCAUCGCGCCCUAGCGGUCACCAGGUGUCCCAUCGCGCCCUGACACGGUCACCAGGUGUCCCAUCGCGCCCUGACACGGUCACCAGGUGUCCCAUCGCGCCCUGACACGGUCACCAGGUGUACAGUGUUUCCUCUGACAUAUUGGUGUGGCUGGUUUCCGGGUUAAGCAGCAUUGUGUCAAGGGUACUAUUUGUCUGAAAAGGUGAAGUAUUGCGAUGAGCUAUACGACUGUACUUCUGAUUUUAAUUCUCAAGAGGAAAAUUAAAACCCUCAGCUGUGAGGUCACUGAGGAGGACCAACAGUGAUAGGGACUGACAUGCAGGGAUGGAACCUAAGCUAGUAUGGCUAACGUUAGGCAUAUCACAGCCUAUCGGGAUAGUCUGACUACACCAAAGUGAGAUACUCUGCAACGUUAUCUAGUUAACGUAAGCUAAUGUAGCCAACUAAGGUGCCUAACUUGCUAGCACACCAGGCAAUAUUUAGCUGGCUAUAUCUCUGCCCUUGUGGGCUAACAUUAGCUAGCAUGUCAUCAUGUUAAACACUAUGACUUCACCACAAUAGCUUGUUAGCAGCUAGCAAACAGGGUUUACCUCAUCACACAGCUCCAGUGACGCCUCUCGCUUACAGACGUCGGAAAACUAUUAAAUGCAUGUGUGCUUAUCGGAGUAGUGGAUACAAUCCGGCACAUAGCACAGAAACAUCCUUGCUUCUGAUCGACAGAGAGAGCUAAGGUUGACGUUAGCUACAAAGGCCAGGGUCAUUAAAAAAAUUAUAGUAAUUAAAAAAUGCUAAGGUAACUAAUUCAUUAUAUAAAUUAUUUACACAACAAAGUAAAAAGUCUAUAAUAUCUACUCGCUAGGUUACUUGCUACUUGUCAAUGAGCGUUUGCAUGGAGAAAGGUUUCCGGCCUUGAGUGAUUACAUCACAGCUUGCAACAGGAUGUGUGGUUCUAUAUGAUGGCCACAUAAGAGGCUAAUUAGCAUUUCAUUUUUGGGGGGUAAUUACAGGUGGAUAUAUUGAUAAAAGUGACCUUGUCCGAGAGAGAUUUGCGCGGUUACCAAAACGUCAAGCCACGGUAAGCUUUCACAAAACUCAGCCUUUACAUGAAGUAGUACUAA
rnacentral:lncRNA from 1 species